GGAAUUCAGUGCUGGUAACAGACACGUCAUUGGGAUAAAGAACAGUUACUGCACAGCAGACGGGCAGGCUUCUCCAUGCCAGCCCAAUGUGGAGGAAAUGCCCAUGAGUAGGAAGCCAAAUGCACACUCUUGGAUUGCACAGGCUAUGCCACGUGAGGGCUAUAAAUAGCCGAGCGCAGCAGCUCAGCUCCUCAGUGCUCCGAGCUUCCAGUGUCAAACCCAACUGCUCCCUGAAGACAAGCAAGGCAGACGGAGGGGCGGUCUCUGAAGGGGCAAACUCAGGAGGCCUCAGGCUACAGCAAACAGGUCUACAGAUGCCAGUCUAGAGCCCAACAGAAGCAAGAUGUCUAAAAUCUUCUGUCCGAAGAGGACCGCCUCUCUCCAGUUGGAAGUCUGAUUGCCCACCGUUCGUAUGGAAGACGUGCAGCACAACAGGAACCUAUUAGCUCAAAUUCAAUGCAGUGUACUCAUGGUUCAGGUGUGCAGAUAAACUUUGGUCAGCACACAUCAGAAAGUCACUAGUGAGGACUUUGCCCUAUGGCUAGUGAAUUUAGCAUGGCAU